GUUUCUGUAGUGUAGUGGUUAUCACGUUCGCUUUACACGCGAAAGGUCCCCCUGGUUCGAAACCGGGCCAGAUGCA